GGGGGAAGCACAGGAUCCUGGGCUGUGUCUCCCAGCGCCCGGGAUCUGGAGCCUGCGCUGCUGGAAUCGCGCUCCCGGGGCCACCGAUCCCA
rnacentral:pre_miRNA from 1 species